AAUUCUCAACCUCACCAGUUUUGUUAUGAAACUGUGUAAGGCUUGGAUGUGGGGGUUUGUGCAGGUUGCCUUUGCGCGGUCUGCUCCCCUAAAAUGUAUUAGCGAGUUCACUGAGCUCCGUCUAUUGGUGUGAUAAUUAUCUACGCCGUGGAUUGGACUUAGACUUGCUUCUAACCGUCCGCAAGGACAAUCUUAUGACA
rnacentral:misc_RNA from 1 species